rnacentral:rRNA from 1 species
AGAGUUUGAUCAUGGCUCGAGAACGAACGCUGGCGGCAGGCCUAACACAUGCAAGUCGAACGCCGUAGCAAUACGGAGUGGCAGACGGGUGAGUAACGCGUGGGAACAUGCCCUUUGGUUCGGAAUAACUCAGGGAAACUUGAGCUAAUACCGGAUAAGCCCCGAGAGGGGGAAAGAUUUAUCGCCGAAGGAUUGGCCCGCGUCCGAUUAGCUAGUUGGUGAGGUAAUGGGCUCACCCAAGGCGACGAUCGGUAGCUGGUCUGAGAGGAUGAUCAGCCACACUGGGACUGAGACACGGCCCAGACUCCUACGGGAGGCAGCAGUGGGGAAUAUUGGACAAUGGGCGCAAGCCUGAUCCAGCCAUGCCGCGUGAGUGAUGAAGGCCCUAGGGUUGUAAAGCUCUUUCGCCAGGGACGAUAAUGACGGUACCUGGAUAAGAAGCCCCGGCUAACUUCGUG